GUGUGUCCGUGUCUGACGGCGACCAGAGCGGGAGGUUUCGUCAUGUCCACCGAACAGUCGGAGGAGGUGUAGCCUUGGAAGUGAAGACAAAUAAGACAUGAUCAGGAGGAAAAAGGACGUGCUUCUUCCACUCCCGAGAACACGUCCACGUUUGACAACAUUGCGCAUGCGGCGAAGGCAGGAGAUGUCAUGGCGGCUUCCUUGCACAUGACCGUGGCGUUCUCCAGUGUGAUUCCACUCGGAGUGGGCCAGGUCGCGUUGGCACCCACUGGGAACGGAGCACGGGUGGACUUGUCAGUGACUCGUGUAGACCGGAGGUACCUGGGUCUGGUGAUAAACAUGUGGGAUAAGAGACCAGUGCUUCACAGUUAUCUGAACACGUGCAUCUGAAAAUCUCAUCUCAUAAGGGAAUAUACCUGGAGAACAAAUUACCUCACAGUCGCCAUCCUAUCAGAUAAACAAGUACACUAAACUACAUCAAAUACAACUUUGUCAACGUCGUCUAUAAGAUGAAUUGUCAUCAUGUGAGACUGAAUGCCAUACCAGUGCAGGCCGGAUAGAAGCCGCCGUUCGGCGACCCUUGACCCUCUGGACAUGGAGCCCGAUCUCCUGAUGGAAAUAAAUUAGGCCAUGUCAAUAAAUCAUCCACUUGUCACAACUACAAGAUUUGCAACUUUGAUAUGAACUCACGGGCCAGCCUACCGUGUUUGUCUGGUAAUUAGCAAAGCAUUAGAGAAUGCAAUCAAACCAACAGACAUUGGAUGGUUGGUUUGCGACGAGAUCCUGACAAGAACAAGAAAAAUAGCCGGAAGUGAACGGCUUACCCAGUUUGAAAGUUUUAUAGCCUAAAGUAAAAGGUAUAGAGCGACUUUCGUACACAGUUUAUGUAGACUUACGUGUACAAGGGCACAAC